rnacentral:rRNA from 1 species
GCUGGCGGCAGGCCUACACAUGCAAGUCGAGCGCUCGUAGCAAUACGGGAGCGGCAGACGGGAGAGUAACACGUGGGAACGUACCCUCCGGUUCGGAAUAACCCAGGGAAACUUGGGCUAAUACCGGAUACGUCCGCAAGGAGAAAGAUUUAUUGCCGAAGGAUCGGCCCGCGUCCGAUUAGCUAGUUGGUGGGGUAAUGGCCCACCAAGGCGACGAUCGGUAGCUGGUCUGAGAGGAUGAUCAGCCUCACUGGGACUGAGACACGGCCCAGACUCCUACGGGAGGCAGCAGUGGGGAAUAUUGGACAAUGGGCGCAAGCCUGAUCCAGCCAUGCCGCGUGGGUGAUGAAGGCCUUAGGGUUGUAAAGCCCUUUCGGCGGGGAAGAUAAUGACGGUACCCGCAGAAGAAGCCCCGGCUAACUUCGUGCCAGCAGCCGCGGUAAUACGAAGGGGGCUAGCGUUGCUCGGAAUCACUGGGCGUAAAGCGCACGUAGGCGGGUCCUUAAGUCAGGGGUGAAAUCCUGGAGCUCAACUCCAGAACUGCCUUUGAUACUGA